UCUAUGGAGAGUUUGAUCCUGGCUCAGGACGAACGCUGGCGGCGUGCUUUACACAUGCAAGUCGAGCGAUGAGAUCCCUUCGGGGAUGGAUUAGCGGCGAACGGGUGAGGAACACGUAAGGAAUCUACCUUCAACACUGGGAUAACUCCGGGAAACCGGGGCUAAUACCGGAUACGAGAACCGCAGGCAUCUGUGGCUCUGGAAAGUUUUUCGGUUGAAGAUGACCUUGCGGCCUAUCAGCUUGUUGGUGAGGUAAUGGCUCACCAAGGCGACGACGGGUAGCCGGCCUGAGAGGGCGACCGGCCACACUGGGACUGAGACACGGCCCAGACUCCUACGGGAGGCAGCAGUGGGGAAUAUUGGGCAAUGGAGGAAACUCUGACCCAGCGACGCCGCGUGCGGGAAGAAGGCCUUCGGGUUGUAAACCGCUUUCAGCAGGGAAGAAGCGAAAGUGACGGUACCUGCAGAAGAAGCACCGGCUAACUA
rnacentral:rRNA from 1 species